CUGCCCUGGUAAUUCCCAGGCUUCAAAAACCAGCAUAUGUCUGAUCAAUAAUGAGACACACAAAGGGGAUUGUGGGAUAAAGGGCGGGUCCAAUUUGAGGUAUUAAAAACUUGCCUAAGUCAUUUUUUUCCCAACACAUCUUGUGUUGCAGCAGAUAGUGGAGCCGUUAAUGGGCAAUGUUAGGGAAAUAAGAUUCUGGCUAUGAAACAAAAGAUUGUUUAAGUUGAAGAAGUAAAUAAUAGUAAGAAUAAGGACUUUUGCAAAAGCCAAGGUAAGAACAUUUUCCCUCUGUAAUAAAUCAACUAUUGAGCUCAAAUUUCUAAUGUUAUUUUGAAUUGUAUUUAUUAUUAUUGCCUUUUGCCUUUGCCCUAGCACAAACUACAAGAGCUCAAAGGAUGCUAAUUUAUUCCUAAAUGGGUAUGCUUAUACUUUCAAUGUGCCUUAGAAACAGCACGCUUUAUUUAUAUGUUCUUAUCUAUUAUUGUCAUCUUAAAAGUAAAUUUAACUUCUUCUACAUUGAAGAGAUAGGUUUACUUUCUAAAAUUUUCAUUGUAAGUUUUAAUUCUUUAAAUAAGGCAUUUCCGGUCCUUGUGGCAGAUUUUAUAUUCCCGGCAAAAGUAUUUCAUCACUUAAACUACAUUACACAUUGAUUAUCUAUUAUCUGCUCAUAUUAAGAAGGCUCUACCAUCAGUUAAUGUUUACUAAACAAUCAAUAAAAUCUAAGUGAAACCAGAAUAAACUCAAACAAAUAAGUGGGCUGAAAUUCAGAGAAAAUUGAGACCAUGUCCCCUUAGAAGGGCAGCCUUUGUGAGAACUCAUUUCUACCUAAAAGAUCUAAUUUAUCUUUUUUAAUGCCAUCAAAGUUAAUAAUGGAUGACAUGUCUUAUAGCUUCAGUGAUGCAGCAACUUGUCGAUAACACAGAGAAUUUAGAAACCAAUUCAUCAAUUCAUGAUUUUUUAAUUGGACCAUGGGUGGUUAAUUUUAAGUCAUUAGACUCUCCAAUAAUAAAACCUUAGAAAGAGAGAGUUAAUUAAUACAGAAGUGGGUAGCUAUCUCCUAUCUCCUCAAUGAAUAAGCGUUCCUGUUUUCUGCCUCAAUAACAGGUGGCACUUUUCCCUUGCAGCAUUUUUGGAGUGGGGUGAGGAUAAGAGCCUUCAGAUGGUCGGAGAAAGUAGUGGAUGCUGAAAGACUGAAUAAUGUCAUCAAACUGGCCUUUUGUCUUGCACCAUUACAGCUAUUUUUCUUGGCUUCAACCAGGAGCUUCAGAAGAACUAAAAGUCAUAUUUCUUUGCCCAGUUAUUGGUUUAAGGAAACCAGGGAUCACCAUGUAUUUUACGAAAAAGGAUGUGCAUCCUGCCAGAUUGUGGCAUGACACUCGGCCCCUCAAUAAGAAGCCAUUGGGUUCCAACUACAGAAGAAAUCUCAAACCUGACCCUUGCCUCUAAGGAGCAGACAAUGGCAUCUCCUCCAUCAUCCCAAAUGAAGAAUCAUCUUGGAAAAUUGUGACAAAUUUAUAGACUAAAGUUUCUUCUCCGUUGUAAGAAUCUUGAGACGUCUGGAAUUCUAGACACUGUCUCCUAAAAAUUUCCAGGAUAAACUUCCCUCCUUCUUUUACUAUAGGUGCACUCUACAAAAGAAGGUAGGUUUGAAAUGAUUCAGACACUGAGACUACAACCCCACUGAGUCAUGAUCAAUGCCUCAUGUCUUUGGUCUCCAAAAAGAGGACCUUCAAAAUAUUCUUUCUUUUUUAAGAAAUGGAAGGUGGCAUACACCAAGUCUUAAGAGUUACACCCAACUAUACACAGGCAAUCCUUAGUGAAUAUUCUAAUAGCAACUAGUUUAUUUAUUUCUCUCCAAUUACUCACGUCAGUAUCAUUAUCCAACUUGCUAAUGGCUUUCCUUGAAGAGGUUAUUUAUUCAUCUGCUUUGCUUCAGUUAUGAAAGAUGCACUGUGUCCCUUGAACUAGGGCUGGCUUCUUUUUAAGAUUUUCUAGAAGCUUAAACUAGAAGAGUAUGAAAAAGCCCUUUUUUAUGAGAACCAUUCUUUAUAUCAAUUACACUUUUGCUCUGUCAUUAAUUGUGACUACCUAUUUAAGAAUGUCUCCACCAUUCAGAAUGUGGAAAACAUGCCAAUGGGAAGCUCAGCUCAAUGGCAGUUCUGGCUUUGGCUUUGGGCUGGACACCCACUUAUGCACAGUAUGACUCAGACUCCCUUCUCGUAACGCCUUAUCUCUAGACACCAUUCUCCAUGAAUCCUUUUCUCUAUUCGUAAUCACUUCUAAUCCUCAUGCUCCUCUGUCUGACCUUCUCUUCCCACAAAAAUCCAGAAAGUAUGCACUUAAUAAACAAACAAAUCCAUUGACAAAGAUAGAUGUAUUCAGGGCAGCUUUACCAAAAUUCAGCUUCAAACUGGUAUUUAGCAAAAUUCCAGCCAAAAUGCUCAUUUGUAACUCUAGCCAACUAUUUUAUUGAAACCAAUUCAAAGCCAAACAUUUUUUGAAUGCCUACAAAGCUACAAAAAUAAUAAAUAAUGUUUGGCUAUCUUUCAAGCCUUGGGGGAUUCAGAGUCCCAAUCCCAAAAAGAACAAGAAGGCAAGGUAAAAAGGAAGCAGACAUGAAAAAGAUUAUUGCCUGGAGAGUGACUCCCACCCAGAAAUCAGAGAGAGGAAGUUUGUUUGAAGAAACUUGAAGUGGUCCCCACAUCUGCUAGGAAAUUGGGAUAUAGAACAGAGCCCUGUUGAAGGGGUUCUUAUAAGUCCUCUCACCCAUCAGCACCUUUUCAGUUGGUUUUCAUAGACUUUUCUGCCUUUGUUUUGAGUUAAUUUCCAAAAGAGGGAUUGCAAAAGACACUCAAAUGUAACAAAAUUAGUACCACUCCAGCACCAGUGUGAAUCUGAGUACCCAAAGACCUGAGCUGUUUCAGAAUUCUGACCUGAAGGCUAAGGGAGAACUAGAUUUCUAAGCAGCAUGUCUCAAAUGACAGAACACUUUUAUCCAUAAAGAAGAGAAAACUGAAUUAUAAAAUGGCUUAUGUCAACUCUGGAUACCAUUGGUUCAGAGAAACCAUAAGCAUCAUGCAAACUCAGAAGCCCCUCAGUGUAGAAAUAGAUACACCUCUUGGCCAACACCCUAGAGCACCCUGGUACAUCAUUAAUAAGUCAGUAACUUGAGCAAGGCACAGAAGCAGAUUUUAAAAACUUCUGGGAAGGAGGCGUCUGGGUGGCUCAGCCAGUUGAGGGUCCGAUUUCAGCUCAGGUCAUGAUCUUGCAGUUCAUAGUUCAACCCCCAUGUCAGGCUCACUGCUAUCAGUCUGUCAGCGCAAAGCCUGCUUCAGAUCCUCUGUCCCCUCCGUCACUUGCACUCUCCCAAAAAAUAAAUAAAUAUUUUUUUAAAAAGAAAAGAAAAACUUCUAGGAAGGAAGAUAAUAACGUAAGCAUAAAUAUAAGAGUGGAAUUUGGGCACCUCUUCUAAAAUCUAGAGGUUGGAAAGAAAAAACAAGUAAUUGAGUUAACCAAAGGACAUCAUGGUAAAAUUAAAAUAAAACCAGAAUUUAUUAACUAUGUAUCAGAUUUUGUACCAGGUAGACAUUUCCACAAUAUUAUCUCAGUUAGUUGUUAAUAAUGUCACCCACAAGUAUUAACAAUGCACAAACUGAAUCUCCAAGAAACAAAAUUAUUCACCUUAAAGCACCACGCUGGUAAGUGUAGUACCAGGAAUCACACCCUGCUCUACCUCACUCCAAAGCUCAUGUGCUUCCCAACCCCUUAUGCCAUCUUCCACAGUCAAUUGCAGGAGGGUUAAUCCUUCCGAGUUUUCAGAAGUUAUCUAAAUAAUUCUGACUCUGAGUAAAUAACAUGAUCUUAAGAGAAAUAUUGAAAUUGCAACUGUCUAAACAGAUCCAAUGACCUGAGAGAAACUUCUGUUACAUCCAAAUACAAAUCUAUAGAGAGUAAGAUCUAAGAGUUUACAGAAUUAAGAUCACAAAUGCAUACAUUGCAAUGCCCCCAAAGAUGCCUGUAGGAAUACUUUACUAUGGACUUAGAGUCUCCCUUCCUUUGGUAAUAUCCCUAAAAUCCUUGAACAGCAUGUAUGGUUUUAGAAAUAGCUUACUUCUUGAUACUUUACUACUAUUUUUUUAGUUUAUCUGGCCUAUGGACUAACCAGCCACAUUAGCAUAGCUUUGUUACCAAAACUUCUUUAUAUCAUUGCCCUCCUUUUCCCUUUUAAAUGCCCAUCACAACAACCCAGUAAGGUGGGCAAGGCAGCAAAGUAUAUGUCUAUACUUUCCCCCUAGUGCCUUCCCCACUGCAGUUGUGGGCAUGAUAUACCCUAUGUCUUGGGUUCACCUGCAGCUCUUUAUUUUCCUCAUCAAUGUACAGUACUUCCAGUUAUGACCUUUUUCUAAUGUUUUCCAGUAGAGGGAAGAAGAACUACAUCUUUAUUCUUGCUAUCUCUUAACAGUCACUGUCAGUGUUAAACCUUCUAGGAAGAAAGGGAAAUCAAAUCUAAGGUUAAGAGAAAAGAAAAAAAGAACAAGCCUGCAUGUUGCUUUGGAGUUGGAUCUGAUUUAUCCUAACCCCUUGAGAAGAAAGACAUGAGAAAUGAUAGGCCCUUGUUUUUUGCUUAGGAUAAAAUCCUCUAUUUCUUUUUGAUCCUGAGCAAUUUGACUCCAGAAAAUAGACAUAGACUAUAUUUUAAAUGCUAAAGUUCAGUGAGAAGACAUUUUUAUUUCUCAACAAGUAGCCUUCUACUUAGGAGUUCAUAUGAAAAGCAAGAUUAUAUUCUCUUGUUCUUUCUUAAUUGUUUUGUAACUUCAUAUCUCCCUGAAUUUUUUCCUUGAAAAGCCUUUUUUCUAACCAAGCAGAUUAUCAUUAUCCUAAUUCUGUCAAGUCUCAGUUAUUUAGGGACAAGUUAUGAGCUGGAAUCUAUAAUACUUUGCUUCAACAAACAUUUCAUUUAGCUCAACAAACUUUUAUUGUGUAACUUUUAAGUAGUAGAGGCCAUACAGAGAAUUGUAUGGCUGAGACUAUAAAGAUGAAUAAGGGUGGUCCUUACAUAUAGGAGGUCAUAGUCUAAUGAGGGAGACAACAUGUAAGCAAGAAAACAUCAUUGUGUAUAACAGGUGUGAAAAUAGAGAGGGUACAAAUUGAGCACAGAGAAGGGAGACAGAAGAGAGAAAGUGUCUGGUGUUGGUCUUAGAUUGAAUGUGUGUGUCAGUCACACAAGGUAUGUAUGUAUGCAUAUGUGUGUGUAUGUUUGUUCAAGGAGGGAGGGAGGAAGAGGAAACUGUCUCAAGUAUGUGCAAAGGCAUAAUACAGCUCAUUGGAUUAUGGAACUUCAAGCAGUUUGUUAUAGCUUGAGUCUACAAUUUAGGGGAAGAAAUGGACUAGUAUGAAAUGAAACUAGAGAGAAAGGCAGGGCAAAUCUCCAUCAAAAUGCAAAUCCUUGCCCUAAACCAGACAUACAAAAUCAAAAUCUGGACACGGACUCUGGGGAUCUGUUUGUAACAAGGUCCUCUGAUGCUUCUUAUACUCCCUGAAGCUGAGAAUCCCCACAGCAGAUGAUGGAGAACCUCUUCAGUCUCUCCCUCCUUCCUUUCUUGAUCAUUAUCCCUAUGAUUGAUCAGCCCCACUCAAUGAAUUAGAAGGGCGGAGGCUCAUGGCCCAAUCCAAUGUAACUGAAUAAAGCAGCAUGAGCAAAGGGAAGGACACAGAAACUACCAUCUAAAAAAGGUGAAGACCUGGACCCCCAUUAUCACACCUGCCCCUUUGGUGAGUAUAUAUAUGCUCAUUACCUUUUUCACUUACAUAAUUGUUGUUUGUUGGUUGUUGUUGUUUUUUUUUUUUACCUGAGGAACUAUUUUAGGUGUUGUUGGUAUUCCCAAAUUCCUUAUAAAGCUUGCUUAUAAAUGGUUUUUGAGUGAUUGGUUUUAUAUCCUCCUAUACUUACUUGUGUUUCUUAUUAUGUAAGGAUUAAAUAGAAUAAAUCCUUUCUAAAUGCAAAAAUUAGGACAUGAUAUGCAAUGCUGCACAUACCAGCAACGUGUGAAUAUAGGUUUCAAUUCACCAAGAGAAGUAGCUUGAUAAUGUCUCAUCAAGAAAAAAUCCAGGAGACAUAAUAACUCUUCAGCCAGUGUGCUCAGUGAAUAGCGCUAUGCUUUUACCCAAGGCACCCAUGUGCCUCUGCUCACAUGAUGCUCUUCUUGCAGGUCUAACCUGGAUGGCUGUGAGUUGGCUUAAUCUCAGCUGGCAACUGUGAGAUGUUCAUACAAUCCCCCACAGUGGUCUCUGGGAUUAUGCUAAACAGAGCAAUUUCCUUGCCCUCAUGGAUCAAAAGACUUGUAGGCAACCCAAAUUACAGUACGGAAUUACUAGUUCAUGACAAAAAAAAAAAAGGCAAAGUUGCUAUGGUUACUGUUUCAUGUUCAACCUCUUUUAAUCUUACUGAAGUCUUUUCUGAAGUCCUGCUCUGCGAGAAAGGCAACCAGCCUUGGGAAUUAAUUUGUCUUUAUUGGAUUCAUGUUCCAUUUAUAGCACUCCUUUAAGGCUCCUUGGUUUUUUGUUUGUUGUUUUUUUUUAAAUCAACCAAGGGAGUUUGGUGUUAGAAGCUAAACCUAAAAUGUUUUCCUUCUGAAAGCUCCUCCCACUCUUUCUGGGGGUGCUGUCAGAUUCCAAGCAGUCCAAAAGAGGAUGAUCUGCCAGCCCUACUCAAACUUCAACUGCCCAGAUUCUCACACUGAAAGUCUCUUCCUCAUUCCUACUAUGUACGUUUCACAUUCAACUGUCCUAAUUGAUACUGAAAUUUAGAAUCAACUGUGGCUCUGGCCUCAAAGGCUUUUUUGAGCCAUGCCUAACUCCAAUUCUUGGUGACCCCUGGAAACAGGGGCAGAAGACUAUUCUGGAAAAAGAUUGAGAACAAAUGUGAUUCCUCAGGAUAAAAAAAUCAAGGCCAGUUCUCUUUCUCAUUCACCCAGCAGCACCAAACCAAUUAGAUGGAACAAAUUUGUAAUUAAUGUAAGAUUAACUUUAGCAACAAAAUGUAUUAAACAUGCUAUUUCAAAGGUCUUGGCUGACGUAGUUCCUUGGGUAUCUUCAGGAAGAGAAGAAGCCUGUGUGUCUAUCCGAUUAGAUUACACAUCUGCUAUUGUGACCUAUUAGGUUUCCUUGCCAGAAAGUGAUGUUGGGUAGUAGGAAGUCAGUUUGAGGACUAGUUAUUCCCAGACUAACAGGACAAAUACUGAAAUAUAAGCCAGAAAAUAACUUACCUCUCAUAAGAAGAGGGCUUCAUAUUAAUCUGCAUCACUCAUUAGGGCCCUUUAAAGCUAUGAAAUUCUCCAGAUAUCAUCUGUAUCUUCCUGCUAGUUGAAAUAGCCUUUUUUUCCCCAUCAAACAUUAAAAAAUUACCAAUUCCAAUUCUUGGUGACAAUUUUUCAAAAAAGAUACAUUCUUUUUUCAAAAGGAAAGAAAAUUAAUGUAAUUAAAUAGGACAAGAAAAAAAUUUUAAAUAGAUGAGCACAUACUAUGUUUCAGGAAUUGUGUUUGUGGUCAUGUUGGUACAUGCGGUAAGUACUGUAGAUGUUUGCAGUACUGUCUACACAUCUAAGCACCAGGGGAGCUUUCAGAAAGGCCAAAGGCAAGGGCUUCAUCACAGAUGAAUUAAAUCAGAAUGACUAGGUGUGGGGCCUGAGCAUCACUAUUUAUGAGCUGCCCAGCAGAUUCUAAUGUGCAGUCAGAGGUGAGAAUCAGUGUAUGUGAGUCCAACGAGAAGGCUGUGGAUGGAGUGGAGUGGAGUGAAAGAGAAACUGGUAGGAGAUGGAAUUGGAGCAAUAACUGGGUGGUCCAUGGUAAGGAUUUGGGGUUUUAAUGUGAAUGACUUGAGAAGCACUGGGGGAGAGUUUUUUAAUUAGAGAAGUAGCAUGACUUGUUUACUAGGUAACAUAGAUCGAAUAGGAUUUUCUCAGAACUUAAUAACUUAUAAACUCUAAGGAAAAACAUGUGUUGUGGGCUCCAAAUAGCAACCUUGCAAUUAAACUUGAGAAGCAUAGACCACAGGACAGGCAGGUUCCUACCAAGAGGAGAGCUAGUAUAAAAGACCAAAGAGAAAACUGGCUCUGGAAUUAGGAGUCCCAACUCCUUUUGAAAACUAAUUAGCUUUUUUGCUGCUUUAAGGGGGGGGGGGGGGAAAUCACGUAUCUUUUCAGCCACAUAGAAUAUGACUUGAAAAAAAAAAAAACUUAAAAAUUUUAUCACCCUGGUGAUAAUUAGCAUCGAAAUAAGGGAAGGCUUUGGCAUCUCUGUCAAUGAGACACCCAAAAUAUUGUUGUUGGAUGGGAUUAGUUUAUGACAGUGCUAAUAGAGGAUAGAGUGCAACAGGGUUCCCAGCCUUUUCCUAUGGAGGCUCUGUCUUGCUCACUAUAUGAGACCUUGUUAGGGCUCCUGGGAACCAAGUCCUCACCUCAAUCGCCAGUACCUAUAGUAUGGCCCUUGUUCUUCCUUGUUACUACCUAUACCAUGAAGACUAUCUACAUCAAAGUGGAAGAAGCUGGUCUCUCUCCCAGAGCAAGCAAGCAGAGCCUACUGCCAGUCUGCAGGCCUGCACCUUAAAUGUGUGCUGAACCUGUGAUUCUGAUCUGCUGCACUAAACCUGAACUCUAUUCCUGCUCAGUGCAGCUGACCAUGCUCUCUUCAUCCUCCAGCCUGUGUGUUCCUGUCUGAUCACAGAUUGCAACUCACUGUGGCUCUAAGCAUUACUCAGGUCAGACCUCACCUCUACACCUGGAUUUGGCUUUGCACAUAGGAACCACGGUGACCAUGUGUCGCCUACAGGCUUCACUAUUUGGGGCCCCAUGUAAAGGGCAUCCCAAGGCUGCUUCUUUAGAUCUUGCCUGAUUCUUCCCUGACCAGUUGUGUCCCAGUAUGUACUGCACAUAAACCUGUGGUGCUUAAAACUUGCCCUGAGUGUUCUCUAAGCAUCCCUGGCUUUGUCCUCAGGUGUACACUUCGAGCUUGCAGGUGUCCCACCACACCCAGCCCUGGCUUCUACCAGAGUGACAGAAGUCCAGAGAUCCAUUGAUUUCCCCACUGAUUUCCUAGUUUUCAUACUACCUUCAGUUCCCCAAAUGAGCGAAGGUCUCCUUCUGAGCUCAUUCCCCUGGACAACUCUUGACUGAACCUUCUUAGUGCUAGAAAUCAACAUUUCAGUCCUGGCCCAAAAAGUGAAGUAAGAUUACCAGCCUUCCUUAGACCAUUAGUGCUAGCAGUUCAGCUGGCCCAGGAGGCUGACCUUGGUUUUCAGGUACUGCAGGGAGCCCCAUGCUGUAAGCCCAACUUGACAGCAAGUUUUAUUUAUUCCAUUAAUGAGAACAAGCUAGCUAGAUGGUGGUCAUCCUUCUGCCUUCAAAGGAUUUUAUCGUUCUCUGCUUCUGAAUGUAUGUAGUAAGGAAUGUGGGCAGGCUCAAGUCAGCCAGCAAAAAUUCCAUCUGCCACCAAGAAGGCCUCUGAAGUCACUGACAAAGUCAAAAAGCCCAAGGCAUCCUAGCAGCACCCCUAUGCAAGCUAAAAGUGACCCCAGGCUCACAAUGUCUGUCUUCUCUGUGCAUCCAGAUUAGAACUUGCUGUGGCCCUCUCCAGGCUGUACUACUGGAGAAUAAAUAGUCGUUGAAUGCCCAGAAAGGCCAUCUUUGUCUUCCUUUGUCAAUUAAUUAAAUUCCUUUAAUUAAUUAAUUAAAAAAUCAAAACUAAACAACAGAACAAAGAGGGUUUAUGUGUCCAGUGAUGAUUGCAAGAUCUCAGGAAGUCUACAGCUGUCCAUCCUAUCUAAGACAGAGCUAUCUUCCAUGAAGGUGGAGCAGGGUUAAAGAAACCUUUACUGGUUACAGAUUCAAUCCUCUAUUGGCUAGAGCACUUUGAUAUUAGUAAUCCUGCCAGGUACCCAAUUUGUACCUGUAUAACCCAUUCUUCUGAAUCAUUUUUGAAGCCCAAACUUCUCCUUAAAAACACACUUUCU